AUGAAGAACCCUGGCUCACAAGCCCUGCUUCCUUUAUAUCUUCCCUGGGAAGCCAACCUGGCAGAUGAGAAUCCACUCCUGAAAGUAGUCAUUUUCUUAUGCCUCUUGACAUUUGGACAUGGGAAGUUGGAGCAACCUGAAAUAUCAAUUUCCAGACCAAGAGAUGAGACUGCACAAAUAUCCUGUAAAGUUUUCAUCGAAAGCUUUAGGAGUGUAACCAUACACUGGUACCGGCAGAAACCAAACCAAGGUUUAGAGUUUCUAUUAUAUGUCCUUGCAACCCCUACCCAUAUUUUCUUAGAUAAGGAGUACAAGAAAAUGGAGGCAAGUAAAAAUCCUAGUGCUUCUACAUCGAUAUUGACAAUAUAUUCCUUGGAGGAAGAAGACGAAGCUAUCUACUACUGUUCCUACGGCUAAAG